rnacentral:rRNA from 1 species
CCUACGGGAGGCUGCAGUGAGGAAUAUUGGUCAAUGGGCGCGAGCCUGAACCAGCCAAGUCGCGUGAGGGAAGACGGUCCUAUGGAUUGUAAACCUCUUUUGUCGGGGAGCAAAAGACGCCACGCGUGGCGUUCCGCGAGUACCCGUAGAAAAAGCAUCGGCUAACUCCGUGCCAGCAGCCGCGGUAAUCCGGAGGAUGCGAGCGUUAUCCGGAUUUAUUGGGUUUAAAGGGUGCGCAGGCGGAAGAUCAAGUCCGUGGUAAAAUUGGGAGGCUCAACCUCGUCGAGCCGUUGAAACUGGUUUUCUUGAGUGAGCGAGAAGUAUGCGGAAUGCGUGGUGUAGCGGUGAAAUGCAUAGAUAUCACGCAGAACUCCGAUUGCGAAGGCAGCAUACCGGCGCUCAACUGACGCUCAUGCACGAAAGUGUGGGUAUCGAACAGGAUUAGAUACCCUGGUAGUC